CAGUGAAAUUGAACUCGCUGUGAAGAUGCAGUGUACCCGCGGCAAGACGGAAAGACCCCGUGAACCUUUACUAUAGCUUGACACUGAACAUUGAGCCUUGAUGUGUAGGAUAGGUGGGAGGCUUUGAAGUGUGGACGCCAGUCUGCAUGGAGCCGACCUUGAAAUACCACCCUUUAAUGUUUGAUGUUCUAACGUUGACCCGUAAUCCGGGUUGCGGACAGUGUCUGGUGGGUAGUUUGACUGGGGCGGUCUCCUCCUAAAGAGUAACGGAGGAGCACGAAGGUUGGCUAAUCCUGGUCGGACAUCAGGAGGUUAGUGCAAUGGCAUAAGCCAGCUUGACUGCGAGCGUGACGGCGCGAGCAGGUGCGAAAGCAGGUCAUAGUGAUCCGGUGGUUCUGAAUGGAAGGGCCAUCGCUCAACGGAUAAAAGGUACUCCGGGGAUAACAGGCUGAUACCGCCCAAGAGUUCAUAUCGACGGCGGUGUUUGGCACCUCGAUGUCGGCUCAUCACAUCCUGGGGCUGAAGUAGGUCCCAAGGGUAUGGCUGUUCGCCAUUUAAAGUGGUACGCGAGCUGGGUUUAGAACGUCGUGAGACAGUUCGGUCCCUAUCUGCCGUGGGCGCUGGAGAACUGAGGGGGGCUGCUCCUAGUACGAGAGGACCGGAGUGGACGCAUCACUGGUGUUCGGGUUGUCAUGCCAAUGGCACUGCCCGGUAGCUAAAUGCGGAAGAGAUAAGUGCUGAAAGCAUCUAAGCACGAAACUUGCCCCGAGAUGAGUUCUCCCUGACUCCUUGAGAGUCCUGAAGGAACGUUGAAGACGACGACGUUGAUAGGCCGGGUGUGUAAGCGCAGCGAUGCGUUGAGCUAACCGGUACUAAUGAACCGUGAGGCUUAACCUUACAACGCCGAAGCUGUU
rnacentral:rRNA from 1 species